GCAGAUGAUUCUAAAGCACAGCAAAGUUGAGACACUAAAUGCUGGGCGUGGGUACGAGCAAUGCUGCCAUCAUUUCAAUUGCGGGCUGGGCCAAAUCUUUGUGCUCAGCAAAGACCUUUUCACCAGGGGCGUGAAUAGAGGAAUGUCUUCCCUGAAGGCAUGGAGAUCCACGGAGGGUUGUGCUCUCUUGAGUUGGUGAAUAAAUAAUCAAGGACAUUCUUUAGCUGAAUGGUACCUCUGAGCAGGAAGUGUGGUCCUACCACAGCAGGUCUUGUUUGAAUGGCUGUAUGGAUUUUGCAUGAAUCACCCCUGUCCAACGCUGGAGACACCCUUUCCAGAAGAUCCUGAUUCCAGUCUGCAUCCAUCAACCAGUUGCAAGGCUCUUGGAAGCAUCUCUGGGCUUUUGAGCGAUUUCACUCGACCAGAAAACCCAGUGGCUGGACUGAGGAGCAGUCAUGAGACGGAAGCCACGGCAGAUGGAAGCUGGACAUUGCUUUGAUCAGAUGCUCAAGUGACAGGGGACGAGAGCUACCACCUCCAACUUUCCACAAGCUCUUGCUUGCAGUGCCCAUGUCAGGGCUGAGAUGCUUGCUUAAGCCUGACCUUUUAGCACAGUUAAAACUUUGAAAACAAACCUAUGCUUGAAGGAGAGAGGAAAUAAGGCUGUAUAAUCCUGACUUGGCCUUACCUGCCUGCCACAGCAGGGCCUUACCCGACUGCCGCCUCCGGCAUCCAACGCAAUCUGCCUUACUCUUUGGGCUUCUUGGUGAGUGUCUCCAGGAGACCAUGGCAUUCCUUCCUGGAGGAGAGAUUCCUGAGGCCCAGAGGUAUCUGGCUCCAGUUCACUUAAGCGAACAAGGCUCUAACGUUAGGCUUUGCCGUCUCUGAGACUACAAGAUUUCUGGAUGUCUCAUUUACUUUCUAUUAAUAGACAUGGGUCGUUAUGGUUUAUGUAUACACUUAUGUGUCAGAAUUCAACCAUUCAUAGCCAUAUCAUGACUAGUGGUUUAAACUCCAACCUCAGAGCAAUAAAUCCCAUAAAAAUUC
rnacentral:lncRNA from 1 species